GAGGCCACUGCUAUCCGAGUUCGAUUAAGCCAUGCGAGUCGAGAGGUGCAAGACCUCGGCAUACUGCUCAGUAACACGUGGACAAUCUAACCUAUGGAAGGGGAUAACCCCGGGAAACUGGGGAUAAUACCCUAUAGACUAUGGAUGCUGGAAUGCUUUGUAGUCGAAAGGUCCGCCGCCAUAGGAUGGGUCUGCGGCCUAUCAGGUAGUAGUGGGUGUAGCGUACCUACUAGCCUACGACGGGUACGGGUUGUGAGAGCAAGAGCCCGGAGAUGGAUUCUGAGACACGAGUCCAGGCCCUACGGGGUGCAGCAGGCGCGAAAACUUUACAAUGCUGGCAACAGCGAUAAGGGAACCUCGAGUGCCAGGUUACAAAUCUGGCUGUCGAGAUGCCUAAAAAGCAUUUCAUAGCAAGGGCCGGGCAAGACCGGUGCCAGCCGCCGCGGUAACACCGGCGGCUCGAGUGGUAACCGUUAUUAUUGGGUCUAAAGGGUCUGUAGCCGGCCGGAUAAGUCUCUUGAGAAAUCUGGCAGCUUAACUGUCAGGCUUUCAGGAGAUACUGUCUGGCUCGAGGCCGGGAGAGGUGAGAGGUACUUCAGGGGUAGGGGUGAAAUCUUGUAAUCCUUGAAGGACCACCAGUGGCGAAGGCGUCUCACCAGAACGGACCUGACGGCAAGGGACGAAAGCUAGGGGCACGAACCGGAUUAGAUACCCGGGUAGUCCUAGCCGUAAACGAUACUCGCUAGGUGUCGGCCACGGUGCGACCGUUGUCGGUGCCGUAGGGAAGCCGUGAAGCGAGCCACCUGGGAAGUACGGCCGCAAGGCUGAAACUUAAAGGAAUUGGCGGGGGAGCACCACAACGGGUGGAGCUUGCGGUUU
rnacentral:rRNA from 1 species